rnacentral:tRNA from 1 species
UCUACCUUAGUAUAAUUUGAUUAUAUAGGCUUUUCGUGCCUAAAAUGGUGUAUACGCACCAGGUAGCA